rnacentral:rRNA from 1 species
CAUAGCGACUAUCGUGGCAUAUCAAUAAGCGGAGGAAAAGAAACUAACAAGGAUUCCCUUAGUAACGGCGAGUGAAGCGGGAAGAGCUCAAAUUUGAAAUCUUAAAGGGUUUGCCCUUGACGAAUUGUAGUUUAAAGAAGUGUUUUCGGUUAGAGGAGUUCGUAAAAGUUCUUUGGAAUAGGACAUCAUAGAGGGUGAGAAUCCCGUAUUUGACCGUUAUCUUUCUAGCUGUGUGAUACACUUUCAAAGAGUCGGAUUGUUUGGGAAUGCAGUCCAAGAUGGGUGGUAAAUUUCAUCUAAAGCUAAAUAUUGGCGAGAGACCGAUAGCGAACAAGUACCGUGAGGGAAAGAUGAAAAGAACCUUGAAAGGAGAGUUAAACAGUACGUGAAAUUGUCAAAAGGGAAGCGUUUGACACCAGUGUUGUUUAGUUGAAAAUCAAUUCAAUAGUUUUUGAUUCUAAGUAGUAUUGACUUCAUCAGCUUGCUGCUUUCUUCUCAGAAAUUAUUGAAUGCACUUUUCAGUUAACAAGUCGACAUCAAUUUCUUUUGUUGUAAAAGGGUAAGAGGAAGGUGGCUUGCGCUUCGGCUCAAGUGUUUAUAGCCUUUUAUCUCUGCAAUCGGAGAGAUUGAGGUCUGCAGCGUAGAUCCUUCGGGGUUAGAUACAUUGGUGCUAAGCUAUAGCCUUGUAUAGACAACUUGUUGACUAUGCUCAGUCAUGUAGCUUACUCGCUGAUGCUAUUUUACCUACGCUUAGGAUGUUGAUAGUCACAGCGUGUAC